rnacentral:rRNA from 1 species
UAGGGUUCGAUUCUGGCUCAGGAUGAACGCUGGCGGCGUGCUUAACACAUGCAAGUCGAACGGAGCGAUGACACGGAGUCUUCGGAUGAAGUGUUAUGGCUUAGUGGCGGACGGGUGAGUAACACGUGAGCAACCUACCUUUUGCAGGGGAAUAACUCUGGGAAACCAGGGCUAAUACCGCAUGACGUGCACUUGGGGCAUCCUUUGUGCAUGAAAGGAUUAUAUCCGGCAGAAGAUGGGCUCGCGUCCGAUUAGGUAGUUGGUGAGGUAAAGGCUCACCAAGCCGACGAUCGGUAGCCGGACUGAGAGGUCGAUCGGCCACAUUGGGACUGAGACACGGCCCAGACUCCUACGGGAGGCAGCAGUGGGGAAUAUUGGGCAAUGGGCGAAAGCCUGACCCAGCGACGCCGCGUGAAGGAGGAAGGCUUUCGAGUUGUAAACUUCUUUGGGGAGGGACGAAGAUGACGGUACCUCCAGAACAAGCCACGGCUAACUACGUGCCAGCAGCCGCGGUAAUACGUAGGUGGCGAGCGUUAUCCGGAUUUACUGGGUGUAAAGGGCGCGCAGGCGGCCCUGGAAGUCAGAUGUGAAAGAUCAAGGCUUAACUUUGACAGGUCAUCUGAAACUUUGGGGCUUGAGUAUCAGAGGGGAAAGUGGAAUUCCUAGUGGAGCGGUAAAAUGCACAGAGAUUAGGAGGAACACCGGUGGCGAAGGCGACUUUCUGGCUGACAACUGACGC